rnacentral:miRNA from 1 species
GCCGCUGAGUGGGGAGGAGAGAGGACAGAGAGCCUGCUUCUUUAAAGGAGCAAAGCGGGAGAGGAGAGGAGCCGCGUACACAAGUGUAAGCGGCGCCUGUCCGGUUGGUUCCUUUAAAGCAAGCAGGCUCUCUUUCCCUCCUCCCCACUCAGCUC